UACGUAGGGUGCGAGCGUUGUCCGGAAUUAUUGGGCGUAAAGAGCUUGUAGGUGGUUUGUCGCGUCUGCUGUGAAAUCCGAGGCUCAACCUCGGACUUGCAGUGGGUACGGGCAGACUAGAGGUAGGUAGGGGAGAAUGGAAUUCCCGGUGUACGCGGUGAAAUGCGCAGAUAUCGGGAGGAACACCGGUGGCGAAGGCGGUUCUCUGGGCCUACCUGACGCUGAGGAGCGAAAGCGUGGGGAGCGAACGG
rnacentral:rRNA from 1 species